rnacentral:rRNA from 1 species
AUUGAACGCUGGCGGAAUGCUUUACACAUGCAAGUCGAACGGCAGCACGGGGCAACCUGGUGGCGAGUGGCGAACGGGUGAGUAAUACAUCGGAACGUGCCCAAUCGUGGGGGAUAACGUAGCGAAAGUUACGCUAAUACCGCAUACGAUCUACGGAUGAAAGCGGGGGAUCGCAAGACCUCGCGCGAAUGGAGCGGCCGAUGUCAGAUUAGGUAGUUGGUGGGGUAAAGGCUCACCAAGCCGACGAUCUGUAGCUGGUCUGAGAGGACGACCAGCCACACUGGGACUGAGACACGGCCCAGACUCCUACGGGAGGCAGCAGUGGGGAAUUUUGGACAAUGGGCGCAAGCCUGAUCCAGCCAUUCCGCGUGCAGGAUGAAGGCCUGGUGUAAACUGCUUUGUUACGGAACGAAACGGUU